rnacentral:tRNA from 1 species
GAGGAUAUAGCUCAGUGGUGGAACAUGUGCCUAGCAUGCAUGAGGUCCUGGGUUCAAUCCCCAGUACCUCU